GAUGGAGAUCGCUUAUUGUAGAAGCUCGAACGAAGUCCACUUACCAUAGAAACUCGGAUGAAGUCCGCUUGUAAUAGAAGUUCGGAUGAAAUUCGCUUACUGUAGAAGCUCGGAUGAAAUUCGAAAGGCGAUCGACCACUGUAGAAACUUGGAUGGAGUCUGACUACUGUAGAAGUCCUGCUGCUGGAGAAGCCCGAACAUUGAUGAAGUCUGGAAGAAGCUCGGAGUAAAGUCGAUCG
rnacentral:lncRNA from 1 species